rnacentral:rRNA from 1 species
AAUGAACGCUGGCGGCAGGCCUAACACAUGCAAGUCGAGCGGAGCGGCGGACGGGUGAGUAAUUCCUACGAAUCUGACUGGUAGUUGGGGAUAACGUACGGAAACGGGCGCUAAUCCAGCAUCCGACUAGAUGACCCUAGGUCGGAUUAGCUAGUUGGUGAGGUAAAGGCGUACCAAGGCGACGAUCCGUAACUGGCCUGAGAGGAUGAUCAGUCACACUGGAACUGAGACACGGUCCAGACUCCUACGGGAGGCAGCAGUGGGGAAUAUUGCGCAAUGGGCGAAAGCCUGACCCAGCCACGCCGCGUGAGUGAAGAAGGUCUUCGGAUUGUAAAACUCUUUUAGUUGGGAGGCGUUACCUACUCAGUAAGCCCCGGCUAACUUCGUGCCAGCAGCCGCGGUAAUUC